UACGAAGGGGGCUAGCGUUGCUCGGAAUCACUGGGCGUAAAGCGCGCGUAGGCGGACUCUUAAGUCGGUGGUGAAAUCCUGGAGCUCAACUCCAGAACUGCCUUCGAUACUGGGAGUCUCGAGUCCGGGAGAGGUGAGUGGAACUGCGAGUGUAGAGGUGAAAUUCGUAGAUAUUCGCAAGAACACCAGUGGCGAAGGCGGCUCACUGGCCCGGUACUGACGCUGAGGUGCGAAAGCGUGGGGAGCAAACAGG
rnacentral:rRNA from 1 species